rnacentral:rRNA from 1 species
UACAUAGGGUGCGAGCGUUGUCCGGAAUCACUGGGCGUAAAGGGCGCGUAGGCGGCUUGGCAAGUAGGCGGUGAAAUCUUGCGGCUCAACUGCAAGGCUGCCUCCUAAACUGUCAGGCUUGAGCACAGUAGAGGCAGGUGGAAUUCCCGGUGUAGCGGUGGAAUGCGUAGAGAUCGGGAAGAACAUCGAUGGCGAAGGCGGCCUGCUGGGCUGUUGCUGACGCUGAGGCGCGACAGCGUGGGGAGCAAACAGG